rnacentral:rRNA from 1 species
UACGGGGGGAGCAAGCGUUGUUCGGAUUUACUGGGCGUAAAGGGCGCGUAGGCGGCCAGCACAAGUCAGUUGUGAAAUCUCCGAGCUUAACUCGGAAAGGUCAACUGAUACUGUGCGGCUAGAGUGCAGAAGGGGCAACUGGAAUUCUUGGUGUAGCGGUGAAAUGCGUAGAUAUCAAGAGGAACACCUGCGGCGAAGGCGGGUUGCUGGGCUGACACUGAGGCGCGAAAGCGUGGGGAGCGAUCCGG